UGAACCACCAGUCACCGAGGCAUCGUCCGGGGCUCGAGCGACGUCGGGGACACCGCCGGGGUCUACGCGACAGAUACCGGCGAUCUGUGUGAAUCGCGACAGCGAAUGACGUGACGCAGAAAGAAAAAUGCCUUGGACUCGAAGCACUUCCACUAUAAAUGCAAAAUAUUAAUAACCGCGUGUCUAUAUGAUUACACGUUACUGUUCUAAUACUCGGCCGAAUAAAUUGUAAUUUAAUUAACACUAUGUAUAUCGAGAUCCGUGCGUGCGUACAACACGCGUCGCGGUUCCGUGCGCGCAUGCAUGCAAGAGAACAGUUGUCAUGUUAUUAGAAGGAUAAUAGCGUGGAAAAUCCACACCGCUCGUUUUCAGCAAUUGCGAGGGGCCCUAAAUAACAGUAAUACGCGCGUCGAUGUAUUAACACGUAUAAAAUUGUAAGCGACAAAGUACCGUUUGUCUUUGGUACAAUUUGGAGAGGCGUGUCGAGGAUGAGUACGGUCUUGCAGGUCGUACCAAUUAAGUAGUCUCGGCCAGUAAAAUUCCCCGUGAGGGAAUUCGAAGAAGAGAGAGAGGAGACAUUACCUCAAGGGGAAUUUUACUUGCUAAACAAGAUUCUCUUUCUCAAAUGUUCAUAAAUUUAAUCGGAAUUUAAAAUUCCGUCUCCCGCUUAAGCUCGAUUUAGAUUUCGGGAUUUAUAGCGAUGAAUAAUUCACGAAGCGGUUAUACAAUGGUGGAGCCAGCUCGAAAAAAAAAACUGGUGUUGCAGCCGAGAGAGCUUUUCGAGGGAAGGGGGAGGGAACUGCUACGGUAAAAAUAGACCGAUCUAUCAGCAAUCUCCUCGCAAAUUAUCGCGAUUAAUUAUUCCUCUAGCAGAACAAAACGCGCGUACGUCUCUCGGCGGCCGCGGUUUCGUUCUGUAAUAUAAUACUCGCGCGAGAUUUUUUCGUCGUAAAGCAAGUUGAGUAACAACAACGGUCGAUACACACGAAUCUCUCGAAGCGUCAUUAAUUACGGGCUUCUCGGAAGAGAUUAGCAUUAGAGCCGCGUUGGUAACCGCGAGCGCGAGCGUUAGGAAAGCUGCGCCGGCAGAUCGCUGAUUCAUUUCAGCGUGAAGGAGUUGCUCAAAAGGCGCGAUCCGUUGCUAUAAUAUAAUUCGUAUGUUUGGUAAGUAAGGCGCGCCGAUUGAGCGCGGAAACGGCACGUUGGGCAAUAUCGCACGCGUGUUGCAUAAUAUUGUCCCCCUCGCACGCGCGAGAUUGAAUCUUCGAAUGUGGGAUUCUUUCAUUUCAAACGGCAACUUAAUAUGCACGCUGCGCUGCGAAACACAUGGAUCCUGCGAAGAAGACGGUGAUGAGUGACGUACGCAAUAUUAUAGUGCAGGUGUUGAUUGACGGAAUUUAGAAUAGCUAUGUUUCUUGAAAGUCCUGGCUGAUAAUUCACUCAAUUUGCCCUUUCCCUCGUCUUUCGAUCACUUUCCCAAUUUUAUUUCUGCAAAUCUGGCACGCCAGGAACGUUAAUCUGCUCUAGUACUCUUCGCCGCCAGAAAAGACCAAUACUCUUUCAUAAAGUGCGGGAUGCGAUUGGAGAGGAGGCAGUUGGUUGCGUUGCUCAUCAAGAAACCUUCACCACCAUCUGGCUGUUAGCCUCGGCAUGCGAGGAGAUAUUUCUUACCAGCUUGCGAGUGCUAACCGCAAAGUUGGUAUCCGAUGACACCUUCGUUGUUGACGAUACCCUUGACUCGGUGAUCCCGGCUGAGGAUCUCGAUCUCUUAGUCAUAUAUCGACGGUGACUUUGCGAUUUCGAGCAACGAGACGGGAAAAGGCUCGUCCUUCUCGAUCCAGUUACAGACGACGAUCUCGGUGGUAGAAUUGGCAUCGACGGCCUUGGUCUCGCCAGUCUUCGCCUUGACCUCGGCCUUCUCUUCCGUUCUCACUUUAAUCUCGACGUCCGUGCUUCCGUCUGAGCCUGGACCUCGGACUCUACCUUUAGCUUGGCUUGAUUGCCGAGACGAGAUUGUUCGCCGCGAGAAAAACGAAGGGAACGAUAGUGAGCAAUCACUCGGGGCUGAGACACCAUUCGCCAAUCGCUAAUAUUUGUUUAACACUUCGAAAAGAAAUCGAAAGAAAGAGUCGAAGAUUUCUCUAUAUAUUCUCUUAAUAUUCGCUCGUAUGUACAUUGUGUUUGCCGUUUAAUCAUGUCGCGAGGAGGAAAGAAUCGUAUUCCAGCAACUGGAUUUCUUUAUCGUUUCCAAGAACAAAAGUAUUUUAGCCUCCCUCCCUCCUCUGUCCAUCCUUUCUUUUUUUAGGAAAAAAAUUAAAAAAUAGGAAGUUGAGCAUAUAAGGAUAAAAGGGGGUAGAUACAAAUUUAUUUACAUUUGUUAUUAAUUCGUCAUUGUACUCAGUACUGAAGAACAAGAAAUUGCUAAAUGCCAGAUAUAGCUCGUAGUUUGAUCGCGGAAUGCCAGGCGGCUUAACUUGUCAAGUUAAAGUCUGAUUGUCAAAAGACAAAAAGACAAAUUAUAAAUCUUCGUACUCGACAUUGUCGCGUGCGCUCUAUAAUCGAGAAGUGAAGAGAAAGAGGGAGAGGAAAUAAUAAUUCGUCACAAAAAGACUCGGGAAAGAAACCUCUAUGGCGAGUACGCGUACUCGAAUGCGUGCCGGAUGUGAUGUAAUUGUUGCUAAAGCCGACGGAACACAAUUGGGACGAUAUUGUGCGCCGAGAUUACAACGGGACAACGGCCGCACUUGCUGCUGCAUGGGCUGGGCAACUCCGGCCAGUGUGAAACGAUACGUGCAGGCCAACACCUAAUGGUAAUUUGAGAUCUGCCUGCCUAAAUUGGAGAGAGCUCUCGAAUUUUCGCACACGAAUCGUCGCACGCUGUUUACCCUACCGUUUAUCACCUUUGCCGAGAUAACGAGGAGAAAAGAACCACAAUACCUAGAAAAUAUCUGUCUAGCAAUCGUUCAAUUUCAAUCUAAGAAAUCCUACGAAAACACACAGUUGCGGCUGUAAAACUUAUUUUUCGUGUUAUGAUUGCUUAUGAUACUUUUCAAUCAGAUUACUUCCUCAAUUACAUCACGCGUAUAUCAUUUCUAUCACUGCCGACUGCGCGGACACUGGUACUGCCACUGUGUUUAACGCCCGUACCGCGUUUGAGAUAAGUGUAGAAAUAAAUCGCGGAGAAACACUCUUUGACGUAGGAAAGUCGAAUGCUGUUGCUGGGUAUAAUUAAUUGAGAAUCCGGCUUACGUAAGAAUCUGCCUAUGUAAGAACUGUGCGUUAUUGUUCGUCGUAACGCAAGUCGUAAAAUAUAGGGCAGCAGAAGAGGACUGAGAGGAACAAACGAAUUGUAAAGUAACGCAUGAAAGAGUAUACAGGAAAAAUAUGAGAAUACAACAAAAUACAGAGUCCGGAGUUUACAAUACUCGAAUUCUUAUCCAUAAAACUUUUGCUCAUAAAAUUAUACUGUAUAUAGAAUUACAGAUAUUUAUGUUCUUACUAGUGAAAUGCAUUUAUAUUUCUAACAGUUAU
rnacentral:lncRNA from 1 species